GUGGUCCCUUACUACACAACCUUUGUGAGUGGUGCAACUUUGUGGGAUAGAGGCAUUUACCAUCCUGCUCACAAUCGUCACCAUGAGAGACCUUCAUUACUAUGCCCCAGGUUUACAGCUCAUAUGAAAAUUUCACCUGGAAUCCUUGAGUCUCCCCAGAUGCUCAGCACCAAGUUCCGGGGCUUUCCAGUCAAACAGAUGAGUCAAAACAAGAAAAAUUUCCCAACUCAGAGAAACACCUGGAGAGAGUCAGUCUGUUUUAGAAGAGGACAGAAACAGGUUGUGCAAACAAAUAUACCCAUUCACCGUGAAUAUAAAGUUCCAAAAUUACCUCCACCAAGUUUGGCUUCCAGUGAGGAAGAUCUGGCUGAGGCAGUUGUCCACACACCUACUCCAUCAGUUAGAAACCAGGAGACCCCUUUAGCACAGACUAUUGCACCAGAAGAAAAGAAAAAAGAACCUGAAGAACCUGAGCUCUUAUGGACUAACACAGAAAUUGACAAAGACACAGAGUUAGAUGAGUUAGACAAGCUUCAGAACAGUGUUUCUCCAUUACUUUCUGAAACAGAACACACUCCCUCAGAUUUCAGUAGGCCGACUUCAAGUAUAAAGAGCAACCAGACACUGUUCAGCUUUGAGAGAGAAACUGACUGGUCAGACACAGAACUUGAAGCAGCCAGUAGCAGUAGCCAAACCUCCUACCAACCCAUUCUGGAUACAAGCUCUCUACUGGUGGCAAGUGGUUACUGCAGUGGCUUUCUGAGCCCCAGUCUGAACAGUUCCAGUUACCAUGGCACUGCAAACAUUCUCCAGGCUUCAUCAUAUUCUGUGAAAAAAUGCUCAGGGCAAACACCUUCUUUCGUGGAAAUUUGGCAUGACCGUCUCCUGCACCACUGGCCUGUUCUUCCACCGAUCUCCCCACAAAGAGCAUGCUCGGAUACUACAUGUGAGGUCAGAUCUCAGACAUCCAAACUUAGCAAUGGUACACAAGAUGCAUUCAAUGAACUUGAAGGAAUUAAUCCACAAACAGGCUGCUCUUUGUCUCAGCACGAUGAAGGGGACUCCUCUGAGGAAGACUUAUCAGAUCUCUCAGAACUUUCUAAAAGGGCUGAGUCUUUGAACAUUGGAUGUGUAAGUGAAGAUGAAUCACUAGCUGAAAUCAGGCUUUCCUUGUUGGAUCACCAGAGUUGGGAAAAGACAGGCCAACAUGAAGGUAUUCAGAAUGAUGUGGAAGAAUGGUGCAAUGCCUCAGAAGACAUUUUGGAAUAUAAGAUGAAAAAUAUUGGAUCUGCAGCCCUAGAUGCCAAUGGCUUCCUGCUUCAUCUUGCACCUGCCUUCUUGAAAGAAAACAAGACAUCAGAUACUUAUUCAAAUAAUGGAAUAGCUGAUCAGCAGAGUAUCUACACAAUGACUGUUGGAAUGAAAUCACCAAAUACUCUGAGGAAUGAAGAAAAUUCUUUUUCUACUACUGAACUACAUCCAAAUACAGACUUGGAAAUAAAAUCAUCUAUAGCUGGAGCUUCUUUGGUUGAAGACUGUUGUUUGUUCCCCCAAUUAACAGGCUUGAAUGAAACUGAAUCCACGCUGGAGAGUAGGGACCCUCUCUCUGUUGGACACAUGAACAAGGCUCAGUUUGAUACAGUACUGAAAGAACCAGCUGAAGAGUCAAAUAAGGAUAUGGAUGGCUGUUGCACUGGAGAUAAGAGACCUGGAGAGUCCAGAACACCCAGUCAUGCAAAUAGAGGAAGACCUUCCAAACUGGACCAUACCAUUCUGCUGGGAAUGGACCAACAACGAAAAGCUGAGGGAAGACAAGCUCAAGCCUUAUACAUUUACUCAAAACUCCAGGAGACUCAAAUUCCUGCAUUCCGAGCACCUGAGACUAGGACUAUCUCCAACUUUGAAGAUUUCGACUUUUUGGCAAAAUACUGCAUCUUCAGCCAGGAGAAGUUGGCUAAGUACAAAAUGGCUUUUGAAGCGGUGGAUACUGAUGGAGAUGGAUACUUGAACUGCCUGCAAGUUUUGAUGGCUCUGAAAGAAACUGUCCCUUCAGAUGCACUAACUGAUGCUGAAGAACUUUAUGUAUAUAGGAUCUUAGAGAUUGUUGACUAUUAUGUAACAGAUGGCCUGACAGACCUCCGACUCUUCGCAGUGAUGGCUAGCUUGGCACAGAAAAUAACAGCACUGGACAAUUUUAUGAGAGCAUUGAUUGGCCUCAUGGAUUUUAAAGCCUUGGAACUGAAAAUGUACAAUGCUAGGCAAUUAUUUCUGUGGAAUAUUGACUCUCACUCCAGCAGCAUCACAGUGGACCAACUUUUGGUAGAGCUGAAGGCUGGAGGGAUAAGCGAAGAGCAUGAGAAAGCCGUGCAGAGAGAACUGCGACACAUCCAGAAACUAGAUCUUCUUGAUUUCUUGACUUACCUGCCACUCUUUGUCCUUACCCACAACUCUGUCAUUGCCAAUCCACUGGAUGAUUCGAGAACAAUCUGA
rnacentral:lncRNA from 1 species